rnacentral:rRNA from 1 species
AAAAGAUAGCAAUAUCUAUUUAUCUUAAUAAACCUAUCAAGUUCAUCCUAAAUUAGGUUCAUUAUUAUAAUAAUAGUAGUUAGAAACUUACUUAAUAUUAAAAUAAGAUCUUUUAAAAUACAAAGACUUAAAGAUAUUUAUCAAAUAUAGUAAAGAAAAGCUAUAAUAUCAGAAUAUAUAAAUUAAGUGCCAGCUAUAGCGGUUAAACUUAUUAUUCAAAGUAAAUAAUAAAAUUUGAUUUUAUAGAAUAAUUAUAUAAAUUUAUAGUGAAAUAUAAAAAAUAAAUAAUAAAUUUUAACAACAAAGACCCUAUAUUAAACUAGGAUUAGAUACCCUACUAUUAGGAUAUCAUAAGUAGUAUAAUAAACUAAUACUUCAUGGCGGCAAUUUGUUACAUUAGAGGAAUUUGUUUAUAUAAUUCGACACCACCCGCUAAACAUUUCUUUUCCAGCCUAUAUACCGUUGUAAUAAUAAUCUUUUAUAGACCAAUCAUUCAAAAAUUUAAAUUAAAUCAACAAAUCUAGGUGUAGCCUAUAAAGAAAAAUAAAUGAAUUACUUUAAAUAGAAAUUUUAGGAUUUAAAAUUUAAAAAUAAUUAUGAAAUAGGAUCUAAAAGUAACAUUAAAUUAACAUUUCAUAGAGAAUAAAAAAUAAAUAGUGCACAUAUCGCCCGUCACCCUAAUCCAAAAGAUUAGGUAAGUCGUAACAUAGUUGAAUAUCUGGAAAGAUACUCAU